rnacentral:lncRNA from 1 species
GGAGAGAUCAAGGUUGUGAACGCCAUGCAGCUACCUCAAUACUCCCGGAUACUGCCUGCUCAGCUAAACAAUUCCUCACUUAGCCUGUGGUGUACCUGGAUCUGCACGCAAGGUGCAGGGAGUAAUGUGAGUACUCCAACCCAGUGAGUAAUAAACAUAAAUAAAGGCUGAGAAUAAGAAAUCAUGGAAAAAUACAAAGUAAACUAUAACUGAUAGUUUAGAACAACAAAUAGUGAAGCAACAAGUCAAUUAAAUCAGAGUACCAAAUACUGAGACAGGUAUAACCGAUAAAAAUAAAUGCAUGAGUGCAAUGCAAUGCAUAUGAUGGUACACUCUAGUACCCACUGCAGCGUGCAGCCCGAGCCAUCCAUUUAUUUAUCGUCGACGGCGCUCACUGGGGGUGUGUGCAGACUCCGGAGGGGCUCCUACAGCCCAAGCGCUAUAUCAAGCCAUCUCGUGGCAUCAAAUCUAGGCCCUCGGCCUCAUAUCAAUCUCAGUAUAAUCACCCAGGCUCUCGGGCUCAAUAUCAAUGUAAUCAACCAGGCUCUCGGCCUCAAUAUCAAUGUAAUCAACCAGGCUCUCGGCCUCAAUAUCAAUAUAACACUACUGCGGCGCAGCCCAAUCCAUGCUCAGAACAGAAAUCAUCAUAAGCCCCUUAGGCAUUUGUAAAACAGUAGUUCUUAGCCCGAAAUAUCAUUUAGAAAUAUCAUUUAAGUUUUUCAAAUCUUAGAAAGAUGGCUGAGUUUGCAAAACAGUAUUUAAAACCUUGGACUGAGGUCAAAUGAUAUGCAAAAUAUGCGAAAGCAGUGAUAUCAAUCCCUGAAGGAUUCAAAUAAUUGGCAAGAAGCCCAAAUGUAACAAUUAAAUCCAAGUAAGGAUGAUUCUCAAUUUAGUUCAAGUAGAAAACACGGAAAAAAUAUCUCUCGGGACAGACCAAGUCACAAUCCCCAACGGUGCUCUACCCCACGGCCGUUAUCCGACGUGCAAGUCACCUCAAUAUAGCGUUACAAUGUGAAAUUCCGGGGUUUCAAACCCUCAGGACAUCAUUUACAUCAAUUACUCACCUCGAACCGGCUACUUCUUUAGCUCGCGACGCCUUUGCCCCUCGAAUUGGCCUCCACGUGCGUCGAAUCUAUCCAACAUCAGAACGAAUAUGUCAUAAUAUGAUAAGGGAACAAAUCCCAAUCAAAACAAUCGAAAAAUACCAAAAUUCUCGAAUUUAGCUAAAACCCGAGCAAAAUACUACUCCACAAUGCCUUUUCCUCUCAAAUCGACCUCCGAAUGCCACGAAUCUAGCCACAAUAAUUCGAUUCAAUCAAUAAAAAUUAUAGGAAUUAAUUCCAUAUGGAAUUCUACACUUUCCAUUAAAAAUCCGAAAUUGCACUAAAAAUUCGCCCGUGGGGCCCGCGUCUCGGAAUCCGGCGAAACUUAUAAAAUCCGACAACCCAUUCCGAUACGAGUUCAACCAUACCAAAAUUAUCAAAUUCCGGCAACAACUUGACCUCCAAAUUUUAAUUUUUCAUUUUUUGGAAGAUUUUGCAAAAAUCUUGAUAUCUUCCAUUUAAAUCUGAAUUAAACGAUAAAAAUAACCAUGGAUUUAUGUAAUAUAAACACUUUCAAGUAUAGGACACUUACUUGAGUUGAAAUCGUGAAGAACACCUCAAAAUCGCCCAAGAACCGAGCUCCAAAAAUCCCAAAACGAAAAUGAAGAAAUCAGCAUUUUUGGUCCUUAAGUUUCUGUCCACCUGUCACUAAAAGUCCAGUUUCGUCGCUAAAAGUCGUCACUAAAAGUCCACCAGAGACAGUUUUACCAGCCAUAUUCAAUCGAGCAUAACUUUCAGUACAAAUGUCCGAAUGACAAAUGGUUUAAAUUUCUGGAACCUAGAAUACAAGGGCUGCAAUUUUCAUGUUUUAUACAUUUUCCGAUUCCAUAUAUAUUUAGAGAUAUAAGCUUCCCAAUUAGCCUCCUCGCAUCAGAAAUUUCUGGGAAAUUUCAAAAAUAGCUUUACUAGCCCUUAUUCAAUCGAUCAUAACUUUCUGUACAAAUAUCCAAAUGACAAAUGGUUUAUAUUUCUGGAAACUAGAAUACAAGGGCUACAAGUUUCAUGUUUUAUACAUUUUCCGAUUUCUUAUAGAUUACGAGAUAUAAGCUUACAAAUUAUGCUCCUCGCAUCAAAAUUUUCGAACCUUGCUGUCAAAAAUCCAGCAAGUUAAAUUGGCCUAAAAAAUGGCCCGAAACCAUUCCGAAACUCACCCGAGCCCCUUGGAACUCUAACCAAGUAUGAAAACAUGUCUUAAAACAUCAUCCAAACUUGCUCCAAUCAUCAAAACACCUCAACUAACACUAAAAUCAUCGAAUUACAUCGAAUUCAAGCCUAAGUUCUUUUAAAACUUCCAAAACACGCAUUCGGUCAAAAACCCAACCAAACUGCCACUAGAAUGAAAUGUGCUGACUUGGUCAACCUGUCUAUAAUGACUCAUACCAUGUCUAACUUCCUAUAAGUCCGUGGCAUUCUAACAACAAAAUCCAUAGUGAUGCGCUCCCACUUCCACUCAGGAAUCUCUAACUUCUGAAGCAAACCAACAGGCCUCUGAUGCUCGUACUUAACUUUUUGACAAUUUAGACACCGAGCUACAUAUGCAACUAUAUCCUUCUUCAUCCUUCUCCACCAAUAAUGUUGCCGCAAGUCUUUAUACAUUAUGGCGGCACCCGGAUGAAUAGAAUACGGGAAACUGUGGGCCUCCUCAAGAAUCAACUCACGAAGUCCAUCUACAUUGGGCACACAAAUACGACCUUGCAUCCUCAAAACUCCAUCAUUUCCAACAUUAACCUGCUUAGAACCACCAUGGUGUAAUGUGUCGCUAAGGACAAGCAAAUGAGGAUCAUCAUACUGUCGCUCUUUGAUAUGCUCAUACAAUAAAGACCGAGUGACUAUACAAGCUAGAAUACGAUUGGGCUAUGAAAUAUCUAACCUCACGAACUGAUUGGCCAAAGCAUGAACAUCUUAUGCAAGCAGUCUCUCACCAAUUGGGAUGUACGCAAGGCUGCCCAUACUCACUUCCUUUUUACUCAAGGCAUCGGCCACCACAUUGGCCUUCCCGGGGUGAUACAAAAUGGUGAUAUCAUAGUCUUUCAACAACUCCAACCACCUCAUCUGCCACAAGUUCAAAUCCUUUUGUUUGAACAAAUACCGUAGACUCCAAUGAUCUGUGAAUACCUUGCACGACAUGCCGUAAAGAUAGUGCCUCCAAAUCUUCAGCGCAUGAACAGUGGCUGCAAACUCUAAGUCAUGAACAUGGUAAUUCUUCUCAUGAACCUUCAACUGUCGCGACGCAUAUGCGAUCGCCUUGCCAUCCUACAUCAAUACCACACAGAGCCCAAUACCAGAUACAUCAUAAUAAACCGUAUAAGAUCCUAAACCUAUUGGUAGCGCCAACACUAGCGUCGUAGUCAAAGCAGUCUUGAGCUUCUGAGAGCUCAACCCACACUCAUUUGACAAUUUGAAGGGCACCCUUUUGGGUCAAUCUAGUCAAUGGGGCUACUAUGGAUGAAACCCCCCACGAACCGGCAGUAAUAACCUGCCAAACCCAUGAAACUCUGGACCUCUAUAGCUAAAGUAGGUCUAGGCUAGUUCUGAACUACCUCAAUCUUUUUGGGAUCCACCUUUACGCCCUCUUCCGAUACUACAUGCCCUAAAAACAAUCGAGUCCAACCAAUACUCACACUUUGAAAACGUGGCAUAUAACUGGCUAUCUCUUAAAGUCUAAAGUAAAAUCUGAAGAUACUGCUCAUGCUCCUAUCGACUGCGGGAGUAAAUCAAGAUAUCAUCAAUAAAUACAACCAAAAAGGAAUCCAAAUACGUCUUGAACACCCAAUUCAUCAAAUCCAUAAAAUGUUGCGGGGGCAUUUGUCAGCCCAAGUGAUAUCACUAGGAACUCAUAAUGCCCAUAUCGAGUUCGAAAAGCUGUCUUAGGGACAUCAGAUGCCCUAAUCUUCAACUGACGGUAGCCAGACCUCAAAAUAAUCUCUGAAAACACCUUGGCACCCUGAAACUGAUCAAAUAAGUCAUCAAUCCUUGGCAAUGGAUACUUGUUCUUGAUUGCGACUUUGUUCAACUGCCGAUAAUCUAUGCACAUCCUCAUCGAUCCAUCAUUUUUCUUCACGAACAACACAAUCGCACCCCAAGGCGGGAUACUAGGUCUAAUAAAGCCCUUAUCAAGCAAGUCUUACAGCAGCUCCUUUAAUUCUUUCAGCUCUGGCGGGGGCAUACGGUAUGGCAGAAUAGAAAUAGGCUGAGUGCCCGGAGCCAAAUCAAUACAUAAGUUAAUAUCUCUGUCGAAUGGCAUCCCCAACAGAUCUGCAUGAAACACCUCUAGAAACUCAUGGACAACUUGUACUAAAUCCAUGGAAGGAAUCUGCGCACCAAAAUCGCAAAAAUAUAAGCCAAAUAAGCUAGACACCCCUUCUUGACAAUACGUCGAGCCUUCACAUAAGAGAUAACUUUGCUGGAAGAAUGGCCAAGAGUUCCCUUGCACUCUAAUCGAGGCAAUGCCGGUAUGGAUAAGGUCACCAUCUUGGCAAGACAAUCCAAUAAGCAUGAUAAGGUGACAACCAAUCCAUACCCAAGAUGAUAUCAAAAUCUACCAUAUCAAGAAGUAGGAGAUCUACGCUAGUCUCAAAACUCCUAAUAGUAACCACACACGAGCGAUAAUCACGAUCUACAACAAUAGAAUCUUGUAACACCCCAAACUUUAGAUAGAAUCCCACAUAAACAACACACAAGAGGGAUGCUGGGUAUAUAAGUUAACAAUCCUUAGACCCUAGUGACGCGUUUUAGACCUGUGAGGGUCUAGGCCCAGAACAGAUAAUAUUACUAGCGGGCUGAGCUGUUACAGAUGGUAUUAGAGACACUGUUGUGUCAGCCUUGCCGAUGGUUGGUCAGAGUUCAACUGAGUUGAGGCAAAUCCCAGUUAGGCGGGGUAAAUCUCAGUGCUGAGUCUAGGCGAAUCCCAUGCAGUGGAGCAAACCUUAGCAAAGACGCUGAGUCCAUAAGAGGGGGUGUAUGUAACACCCUAGACUUUAGACAGAUUCCCACAUCGGCAAUACACAAGAGGGAUGUUGGUUAUAUAAGUUAACAAGCCUUAGACCCUAGUGACGCAUUUUAAACCCAUGAGGGCCUAGGCCCAGAGCGGACAAUAUCACUAGCGGGCUGAGCUAUUACAAAUCUCCCACAGGUAUGGACACAUACACAGGAGCACUCAAAGAAUCACGAGACACAACCAGAUAUGAAGCAAUAUAGGAUGACACGUAGGAAUGAGUAGAGCUCGGAUCAAAUAGAACUGAAGCAUCACUAUAGCAGACUGGAAAAAUACAUAUGAUAACAGUGUCAGAUGACUAAACCUCAAGCCUAGACGGGAAAGCAUAAUAUCAGAUCUGGGCCUCACCACACUAAACUACGUCUCUAGGAUGGGCUCUAGCUGGCUGGCCUCCAUCUCUAACAGCCUGACCCCACCUUUGGCUGCUUGACCCCUGCCCCUAGCUAACUGAAUGAGUGGUAAAGCAACUAGUGCCGAAAUUAUGGCAUGAGAACUCUGUUGUGGCAUGCCACCCAAUAAUCUCGGAUUGACCUCCUGAUAUUCCUAAUACCACCACACUCAAAACACCCAUCCUGCUGUUGUGGCUGCUGAAACUGAAGCUGACCUGAACAAGCCGAAUAACCAUGAUGAUAACUCUUAAUCGGAGGCGCACUGAUAGGAGCUGGUGGUGCACUGUAGGUUGGUUUCCCAAAAUAAGGCACAUAAGGACCACGACUUCCUUAAACUAGGGGUGGGCAUUCGGUAUUUUAGUUUGGUAUAUAAGAAUUUCGGUUCGAUAUUUCGGUAUUCGGUUUAUCAAUUGGUUAUACCAAAUACCGUACCAAAUUAUUUCGAUACGGUUCGGUAUUUAUUAUUUUGGUUCGGUACGGUUUCGGUUUAAUGCUAUCAUUCAUAAUAACGAAAUGCUGCCAACCAUUAGUUCAAAACUUUGGGGGUGUAGUAAAGACAUGCCUAUGACCUAUCACUGAUCUGAACAUGAGUGUUGCUAUGAGUGUUCAAAACUUUGGGUAACAAGUAACAUAAUUAGAAUGUCUUUAAAGACAUGCCUAUGAUCUGUAAUGACUUAAUGUCAUUACUGCUACUGUUAUAGGCAACCUAAACAACCUAUGAUUAAGUAUCUGAAUGACAACCUAAACAAAAACAAUCAAUGACAAAAUUGAAAACCAUUAAGUCAUUAACAACAUUUUCACAGAAAAGAAGUUCAACAGUGCAAUAACAAUAGCAGUAACGACUAAACCUGAAGUCUUGAACGAUUGAACCUAAACAUUUUCAUAGCAGCCUGCAGUAUAACAGGCUGCAAAUUUUAGUGUUCUAACAGCACUGUAGAAGCAUUAACAACAAAUUAAAUAGUGCAAUAACAGUAGCACUAGUAGCAUAAUUAACAGUAGCAGAAAUGCAAAAUUAGUGUUCUAACUUCUAAUAGUACCAGCAGGCAGCAGUGCCUAAUCGCAUAUACCUCUUUCCAUAUUCAAUUUCCAAAAUAAAUUGGUACAAAAAAAUGCCUAGGCCCCAUUUUGAUUUUGUUGCUACUAAGUCUAUUACUGCAUAUAUUCGCAGAGCAUCCAAGAAAAUGAAUAUUAGUUCUAUCUAAUCUUCAAAACUUAGAUCAUGAAAUGAGAGUUCCUCGAGACAAAUUAGAAAAAUGGAGAUUGAAGAAUGAAAAAUUGAAAAGUUAUGAACUAGACCUGUUGAAGUCUUGAUUUGAAGAGUUAACUGCAGACGUCGGACAACCGAUCUCACAAGCGAGUGGCGACAGCGGACGCCACCAGACAGCCGAUCUCUGAGUUUUUGAGUAAGGGGUCGUUCGUUCUUACUUAGGUUUCUCAGUUGUUUACUCGUUGUUAGUUCUUGCUUCUUAGUUCUUAGCUUUCUCAGAAUGUUAGGACUUAGGUUAAGG